CCUACGGGAGGCAGCAGUGGGGAAUAUUGCACAAUGGGGGAAACCCUGAUGCAGCGACGCCGCGUGAGUGAAGAAGUAAUUCGUUAUGUAAAGCUCUAUCAGCAGGGAAGAAAAUGACGGUACCUGAGUAAGAAGCCCCGGCUAACUACGUGCCAGCAGCCGCGGUAAUACGUAGGGGGCAAGCGUUAUCCGGAUUUACUGGGUGGAAAGGGAGCGUAGACGGCAGUGCAAGUCUGGAGGGAAAGGCGGGGGCUCAACCCCCGGACUGCUCUGGAAACUGUACGGCUGGAGUGCAGGAGAGGUAAGUGGAAUGCGUAGUGUAGCGGUGAAAUGCGUAGAUAUUAGGAGGAACACCAGUGGCGAAGGCGGCUUACUGGACUGUAACUGACGUUGAGGCUCGAAAGCGUGGGGAGCAAACAGGAUUAGAUACCCGAGUAGUC
rnacentral:rRNA from 1 species